rnacentral:lncRNA from 1 species
AUAUGUAUGUAAAUCUAAAUAUAUGUAAUGGCAGGUCUUUACAGGUUAGGGUGUAAUGGCAGGUCUGUACAGGUUAGGGUGUAAUGGUAGGUCUGUAGUUAGGGUGUAAUGGCAGGUCUGUACAUGUUAGGGUGUAAUGGCAGGUCUGUAGUUAGGGUGUAAUGGCAGGUCUGUAGUUAGGGUGUAAUGGCAGGUCUGUAGUUAGGGUGUAAUGGAAGGUCUGUAGUUAGGGUGUAAUGGCAGGUCUGUAGUUAGGGUGUAAUGGCAGGUCUGUAGUUAGGGUGUAUUGGCAGGUCUGUAGUUAGGGUGUAAUGGCAGGUCUGUAGUUAGGGUGUAAUGGCAGGUCUGUAGUUAGGGUGUAAUGGCAGGUCUGUAGUUAGGGUGUAAUGGCAGGUCUGUAGUUAGGGUGUAAUGGCAGGUCUGUAGGUAGGGUGUAAUGUAAGUACAGGUACUGUAAAUCCUCAGUGAUGUGGACACAGAGGGAC